rnacentral:rRNA from 1 species
GUGGGGAAUAUUGGACAAUGGGCGAAAGCCUGAUCCAGCCAUGCCGCGUGUGUGAAGAAGGUCUUCGGAUUGUAAAGCACUUUAAGUUGGGAGGAAGGGCAGUAAGUUAAUACCUUGCUGUUUUGACGUUACCAACAGAAUAAGCACCGGCUAACUUCGUGCCAGCAGCCGCGGUAAUACGAAGGGUGCAAGCGUUAAUCGGAAUUACUGGGCGUAAAGCGCGCGUAGGUGGUUCAGCAAGUUGAAGGUGAAAUCCCCGGGCUCAACCUGGGAACUGCCUCCAAAACUACUGAGCUAGAGUACGGUAGAGGGUAGUGGAAUUUCCUGUGUAGCGGUGAAAAGCGUAGAUAUAGGAAGGAACACCAGUGGCGAAGGCGACUACCUGGACUGAUACUGACACUGAGGUGCGAAAGCGUGGGGAGCAAAGAGGAUUAGAAACCCCGGUAGUCC